AAGUCGUAACAAGGUCUCCGUAGGUGAACCUGCGGAGGGAUCAUUAACAAAUAAAUUUAAUUUUAAUUUAAAAAAAAAUUUUUUUUUUCUAUUAAAAUCAAAUAUAAACACUAACGUGAACUAUAUGACUGACUGAAAGAAAUGAAAAUUUUUUUCGGCUUUUUUUAUAUUUUAAAUUAACGAAUUUCACUUAAUUUAUUUUCUUUUUUUAACUAAGAAGGAAAAAAAAUUAAAUUUUCAAAAAAUUAAAAAAAACAAGAAUUUCUUAUUUUUUUUGAGUUUUGCGAUUUUUUAAUUUUUUUUUUUAAAAGGAUUUGUAUUUUACAAUUUCUGAAAAAAAAAUUUAAAAGCACAACUCUUAGCAACGGAUAUCUUGGUUCUC
rnacentral:misc_RNA from 1 species